AUUGAACGCUGGCGGCAGGCUUAACACAUGCAAGUCGAGCGGGGGAAGGUAGCUUGCUACCGGACCUAGCGGCGGACGGGUGAGUAAUGCUUAGGAAUCUGCCUAUUAGUGGGGGACAACAUCUCGAAAGGGAUGCUAAUACCGCAUACGUCCUACGGGAGAAAGCAGGGGAUCUUCGGACCUUGCGCUAAUAGAUGAGCCUAAGUCAGAUUAGAUAGUUGGUGGGGUAAAGGCCUACCAAGGCGACGAUCUGUAGCGGGUCUGAGAGGAUGAUCCGCCACACUGGGACUGAGACACAGCCCAGACUCCUACGGGAGGCAGCAGUGGGGAAUAGUGGACAAUGGGGGGAACCCUGAUCCAGCCAUGCCGCGUGUGUGAAGAAGGCCUUAUGGUUGUACAGCACUUUACGCGAGGAGGAGGCUACUUUAGUUAAUACCUAGAGAUAGUGGACGUUACUCGCAGAAUAAGCACCGGCUAACUCUGUGCCAGCCGCCGCCGUAA
rnacentral:rRNA from 1 species